AUUGAACGCUGGCGGCAGGCCUAACACAUGCAAGUCGAACGAGUGGCGGACGGGUGAGUAAUGUCUGGGAAACUGCCUGAUGGAGGGGGAUAACUACUGGAAACGGUAGCUAAUACCGCAUACCAUCAGAUGGGCCCAGAUGGGAUUAGCUAGUCGGUGGGGGAACGGCACACCAAGGCGACGAUCCCUAGCUGGCCUGAGAGGAUGACCCGCCACACUGGAACUGAGACACGGCCCAGACUCCUACGGGAGGCAGCAGUGGGGAAUAUUGCACAAUGGGCGAAAGCCUGAUGCAGCCACGCCGCGUGUAUGAAGAAGGCUUUCGGGUUGUAAAGUACUUUCGGCAGGGAGGCGUUACCCGCAGAGGAAGCACCGGCUAACUCCGUGCCAGCAGCCGCGGUAAUUC
rnacentral:rRNA from 1 species